UACGUAGGGUGCAGGCGUUAAUCGGAAUUACUGGGCGUAAAGCGUGCGCAGGCGGUUUCUUAAGUCAGAUGUGAAAGCCCCGGGCUUAACCUGGGAAUUGCAUUUGAGACUGCAUAGCUAGGGUGCGGAAGAGGGAAGCGGAAUUUCCGGUGUAGCGGUGAAAUGCGUAGAUAUCGGAAGGAACACCAGUGGCGAAAGCGGCUUCCUGGUCCAGCACCGACGUCAGGCACGAAAGCGUGGGGAGCAAACAGG
rnacentral:rRNA from 1 species